AAAUCUAACCGUAGACAGCGGGUGCGAAAGCUUAAUUUCCCGCCGAGGUACAAUAUAAAAAUAUUGACCUUGCCUGUCCGCGGCCAUGCCAGAGCAGACAAGGUUUUUUUAUGG
rnacentral:sRNA from 1 species